rnacentral:lncRNA from 1 species
GGGCUGAUGUGGGGCGGGCCAAACAAACUCAGUGGUUAUUUGAACUAUUCAUAUGGUAGCCCAGCCCACCCCAUUUACAGGGUUGGAUCGGGCCGGCACUGUGGGCCAAGCCCAUUUUAACAGCCCUAAGAAUUAGAGCUGUUGCGGCCAAUCCCCUAUCAUUUGUCGCUGGUGAAGAGCACCUGCAAAACAAAAUCCUCACGGACCGAUAUUGUAUCCGACGGGAAUCCUCCAAUGCUUAAGUCAGUGAGAAGUGGUGAACAGUAGAUAAGAGUAUUUGAAAUGAC